rnacentral:rRNA from 2 species
UGACUGGGGCGGUCUCCUCCUAAAGAGUAACGGAGGAGCACGAAGGUUGGCUAAUCCUGGUCGGACAUCAGGAGGUUAGUGCAAUGGCAUAAGCCAGCUUGACUGCGAGCGUGACGGCGCGAGCAGGUGCGAAAGCAGGUCAUAGUGAUCCGGUGGUUCUGAAUGGAAGGGCCAUCGCUCAACGGAUAAAAGGUACUCCGGGGAUAACAGGCUGAUACCGCCCAAGAGUUCAUAUCGACGGCGGUGUUUGGCACCUCGAUGUCGGCUCAUCACAUCCUGGGGCUGAAGUAGGUCCCAAGGGUAUGGCUGUUCGCCAUUUAAAGUGGUACGCGAGCUGGGUUUAGAACGUCGUGAGACAGUUCGGUCCCUAUCUGCCGUGGGCGCUGGAGAACUGAGGGGGGCUGCUCCUAGUACGAGAGGACCGGAGUGGACGCAUCACUGGUGUUCGGGUUGUCAUGCCAAUGGCACUGCCCGGUAGCUAAAUGCGGAAGAGAUAAGUGCUGAAAGCAUCUAAGCACGAAACUUGCCCCGAGAUGAGUUCUCCCUGAGACUUAGAGUCUCCUGAAGGAACGUUGAAGACGACGACGUUGAUAGGCCGGGUGUGUAAGCGCAGCGAUGCGUUGAGCUAACCGGUACUAAUGAACCGU